rnacentral:rRNA from 1 species
UACGUAGGGGGCAAGCGUUGUCCGGAAUCAUUGGGCGUAAAGAGCUCGUAGGCGGCUUGUCGCGUCGACUGUGAAAACCCGUGGCUCAACUGCGGGCCUGCAGUCGAUACGGGCAGGCUAGAGUUCGGUAGGGGAGACUGGAAUUCCUGGUGUAGCGGUGAAAUGCGCAGAUAUCAGGAGGAACACCGGUGGCGAAGGCGGGUCUCUGGGCCGUAACUGACGCUGAGGAGCGAAAGCGUGGGGAGCGAACAGG